AUUUAUUUUGUAACUGGAAGUUUGUGCCUCUUAUUCUCCCUUGUUAUUUCACUCAUCCCCCUACCCGCCCUUCCCUCUGGUAACCAUCUUUUGUUCUCUAUCUAUGAAUCUGUUUCUGUUUUGUUAUACUGGUCAUGUGUUUUGGUUUUUAUUUAAGAUUCCACAUAUUAAUGAAAUCAUAUGAUCUUUGUCUUUUUCUAUCUGAUUUAUUUCAUUUAGCCUAUUACCCUCUAGGUCCAUCCAUGUCAUAGCAAAUGACAAUAUAUCACUCUUUUUUCUAUGUGAAAUUCUCUGCUUCAUGACAAUACUGCAAGGUGUCUUUCUGGAAAAUGUCUGCUCAAGUGCUUUAGAGUUAAAAAUUGGUGCCCUUCUCUAUUCAUGGUAAAAUCUGGGCAGGGGACAUUUGCAACUAAGCUUUGAAAUGAUGUGAAAAGUUCAUCAGGCAGAGAGGUACCAAGAAGUGGUUCCAGGUGACAGAAGCUGCAGAGCACAAGAAUUUAGUGCCAUGAGGAUUGUGUGGCAAGGCAUUGAGGGAUCAGAGCUAAAGAAACUGAUGCAGGUGAAGGGGGUGAAAAUGGAAUACAGAAAUGGCUUACGUUUCAAGACUUAAUUUUCAGCUAGUGUGCUUGUAUAGAAUUCUGUUCUGCCCUGCUGUUCUCCAGUUGUUUAUACAUUGGUCCCACACAUGUCCUAAACAUAGUCACACAUAUAUUUACACACUGGGCCCAUGUAUGUUUGGGAGUGAUUGUUUACUCUUCAUCUGAAGGAAGAAUAGGAUAUAGAUUAUUUAUUUUAGAGUAUGACCUUUUAGAUUUUGGAAAACAAGAAUCUAAUUCUAAGAAUAAAAAAUUUUAUUAUCAAAUCAUGAAAAUGGCAGAAUGCAGAGGUAUUUGAAAAUAGAAAAAAAUGGAUGAGACAAUAUAUACUUAUAAAAAAAUUACUGAAUGUCUGCUAAGCCUUGAACAAUCUGUUACAUCCUCCUAGAGUUUAGAGUUUAGUGAGAAAGUCAUGUACCACCUAAAUCAUUGGGCAGGAAUUAAUUAGUUUAUUUUCUUGACUUAAUUGUUCUGAAGAAGAAGCCCUGAAUGCUUUUAGGAAUAUGUAACUGGAGAAUACAAGUUAGGCUAGGGGAGGGCUAUCCAGAAAAGGGUUUUUCAGGAAAUGGUUUUUCCAAGAAAGUGACAUUUAGGCUGAGACCUGAAGGAGGACGAGGUGUUGAAGGCAGUAAGAGCCAUGGAAUGGCACAGGGGGAGAGAACAAUGGGUUUGAAAGCUACUGCCCUGCAGAUGGAAUGAUGCUGGUAGAGAUCUCUUUAAAAAAUUAGACAUGCAGCAUCAAAAUGGACUGCAAGGAAAGAACUGGUUACAGCUCAGGUAAAAAGAGUUCUUUCUGUGUUCUUCUACUCUCAGCUUCUGCCCCCACACUUUUAGUGGAUGUUUUCGAAUUCUCAAAAAGUUAUCUUUGUUUGAAUAUAAAAUUAAGGCAAAUGCAUACUUUUCAAAAAUAUUUGGGAAGAGCAUAAUGCAGUGAGUUGACACUUGCUGCUAAGCGAGGGGUUUAUGUUAGUUUGGCUGUGAGCAACAAAGGAGAUAUUUGCGAAAUUAUCUUGAUAUAGCAAUGGAUUAUUUUUAAUUUGAUUAAAAUUUACUGAUUCACUUGUUUCCUUUAUUAAAACAGUUUGUGUUCUUUUCUCUCACUCAUGCUGGAUCUCAUGUAAUGACAAGACUAAGUGGUCCAAAGAAAACAACCGUAUUUUCAUGCAUGCUGGUUAUCUCUCGAGUUCUGGGAAUGAAUCCUGACUUGGUUGCCUAAUAGUAGAAGUGAUUUGGGGACAUGGCAAAAGCUGUUAUUAUGACUUCCUCAUACUUCUUCUCUAACCUCUAAAGGUGUGAAAAAACAGGUCUAUAGUCAGGUCUUCUCAGCAAAGUGGGGGUGGGGAAAUAACUCCUUUUCUUAGGAAAGUUGCAUGUGUUCUUCUCACACUUUAUCUUAUUUAAUUCUGGAAUGGUUGUUGAAUAACACUGUGGCUUUCAUGCUACAUCUGGAAAAUGUGUAGUCUUAUUUCAUGGGAAGGAGCAAAAGGAUGAUGAGUGGAGUAAUCUGGUUUAUU
rnacentral:lncRNA from 1 species